GGAAAAUUCAGAGGGAUUUUGGCCAGGCCGGAAGUGUACGUUUUCAUUACUCGGGUUAGCUUAAUAGCAGGCUGUGUCCACUGGUUUCCUGCUCCAACCCAGACCAUUGCACUGCUAAACGUAACGGAUUCCGUAGGAGAAGCUACCCGGAGCACCACUGAUACAUCCAUGCCACUGACACAGACAGAGGAUGACAGACGGAACACAACAGUCCCGUUACGACUUUUCCUGCCAGUCACUGGCAAAUAGGCAUUCUUCAACUAACUGAGUAACGUCAACGUUAGCUUCAUAUUAUUCAUUAUUAGCCAGCCCGACGCAUUUCAGCACCAUUACAGGCUCGGACGGGAUGCCUGCAACGGGACAGAAUUUCCCCGGUUAUUUAAAUGCAGUCCUAGGCCACCGCACGUUAUGCUAGUUUGGUAAAUUUAAUGACAUACUGAAGCAGAAGUGGGAGGCAAAAUGGGAUUCCUGCACCAGCUCCAUCUCCUGCUGUGGAAGAACAUCUCACUGAAAAGGAGGAGUCCGUGGGUGCUGUCCUUUGAGAUCUUCAUCCCACUGGUCCUCUUCUUCAUCCUCUUGGGUCUGAGGCAGAAGAAGCCAGCGAUUCCUGUCAAGGAAGUGUCCUUUUACAGCGCAGCCCCACUCACCUCGGCUGGCAUUAUUCCCAUCAUGCAGUCGCUGUGCCCAGAUGGACAAAGGGAUGAAUUUGGUUUCCUUCAGUACAAGAACUCCACUGUGACCCAGCUGCUGGAGCGGAUCAGUGAAGUGGUUGAACAGAACCGCCUCUUCACGUCUGACCGGCCUGGUUUGGGUCAUGAGCUUGAGACCCUGCAGCAGCACCUAGAGAGUCUCAGCUCAACCCCUUUACCACCGGACUACAACACCAGCUUUACGCUGGCCAGUGUGUUGAAGAACCAGUCGAUUUUCCAGCAGUUCCUAGUUAAGAACCUUUCCCUGUCCAACUCCACAACCAGCCUGUUGCUCAACACUCCAGUCAGCCUCAGAGAGGUGUACAGUGUUAUCUUUGUUACAUCUCUCAGAGAUGGAGGAGGGACCCAAAGUUGGAUUCAGGGGGCAAAAGGCGCCAGAAAAAAACCUGGAGACAGUGUUCAUCUGGAGGGGGCCCUCCUGACUGGAGCACUGCUGGAGAUCCUCACCUGUGGGGAGGGCAGGGCCAAUAAGCUCAGUAAGAUCCUGUUGGUGCCUGAGAAGCAGGGACCAUUGCUGCAGGCCUAUCGCAGCACAGUGUGCAGCGGAGGGGAGGGUCAAAGGUCAGAGCGCUUCAGGCUGAUGAGCCUUGAGCUGAGAGAACAGAUCAACACACAGAGUGUCACUGAGAAGCUUCACCUGGAACAGCCAAACUCUUUGGUUUCGCUCUCUCAGUCCGACCUCUGGGCCCUAUUGAAAGACCUGGCUGAUGUAGAGAGGCUCCUCAAGGACGUGGACCUGCUCUCUGGCCUGGCCCGCCUGCUGCCCAAAGGAGCCUGUACUGGUCGAACUCCAGCCUUCCCCACAAACAUGACCUGGCCCCUUAACACCACCACCUGGGGCCCUAACAUGACUGACAUCCCUGGAGAGAAAGGGGAGGAAGGAGCAGAGCGAGGUGGAGGAGCAGGAGAAGGGAAAGAGAAGGAGGAAGCAGAGAACCCUCACUCUCAGUUUUCAGCAUUUGUACAACUGUGGGCCGGACUGCAGCCGAUUCUGUGUGGGCACAACAGGAUCAUUGAGCCAGAGGCUUUGAAGCAGGGGAAUAUGAGUUCGCUGGGAUUCACCAGCAAAGAACAGAGGAAUCUGGGGCUACUGGUUCACUUGAUGACAAAAAAUCCCAAGAUCCUCUACUCCCCCAUUGGAUCCCAGGUUGAUAAAGUGAUUCAGAAGGCAAAUGAGACAUUUGCAUUCGUCGGUAACGUGACACACUACACCCAGGUGUGGCUCAACAUCUCCACCCAGCUCAGGGCUUUUCUGGAGGCGGGCCGGCUGCACAACCACCUGGUGUGGCUACAGCAGCUGUCCUCAGAGCUUCAGCAGCACCCUGAGUUGUUGAAUGACUCAGACAGAAAGCUGAUGCAGAGCCUGAUGGAGGGAAACUACAGUCUUCCUAACAUCUCCACCCUGUUGGAGCAGCUUGACACCAUUGACAACGCUGCCUGUGGCUGGAUGCGCUUCAUGUCUAAGGUCAGUGUGGAUGUCUUCAAGGGCUUUCCUGACGAGGACAGCAUUGUCAACUACACCCUAAACCAGGCCUACCAGGACAACGUGUCUGUGUUUGCCAGUGUGAUUUUCCAGACUAACAAAGAUGGCUCCUUGCCACCCCACGUUCUGUACAAAAUUAGACAAAACUCCAGCUUUACAGAGAAGACCAAUGAAAUCAGACGAGCCUACUGGCGUCCUGGGCCCAACAUCGGGGGGAAAUUCUACUUCCUCUAUGGUUUUGUUUGGAUCCAAGAUAUGAUAGAGAGAGCCAUCAUCAACACGUUUGUGGGCCAUGAUGUGGUGGAGCCUGGUAACUACGUUCAGAUGUUCCCCUACCCAUGUUACACCAGAGACGAUUUUCUGUUUGUGAUUGAGCACAUGAUGCCUCUGUGCAUGGUCAUCUCCUGGGUUUACUCAGUAGCCAUGAUGAUUCAGCACAUUGUCGCUGAGAAGGAGCACCGGCUCAAAGAGGUGAUGAAGAUGAUGGGUCUAAACAAUGCUGUUCACUGGGUGGCUUGGUUUAUCACUGGCUUCGUCCAGCUGUCCAUCUCCGUUACAGCUCUGACGGCCAUCUUGAAGUAUGGCCGGGUGUUGCUCCACAGUGACCCCUUCAUUAUCUGGCUCUUCCUCACCAUCUACGCUGUGGCCACCAUCAUGUUCUGUUUUUUGGUGUCAGUAAUCUACUCUAAGGCCAAGCUGGCUUCAGCCUGUGGAGGAAUCGUCUAUUUCCUAAGCUACGUGCCCUACAUGUAUGUGGCCAUUAGAGAGGAGGUGGCCCAUGAUAAGAUCACUGCCUUUGAGAAGUGCAUCGCUUCUCUGAUGUCAACCACAGCCUUCGGCCUGGGCUCCAAGUAUUUUGCAUUGUAUGAGGUAGCAGGUGUGGGCAUUCAGUGGCGGACCAUCAGCCAGUCACCGGUAGAAGGCGAUGACUUUAACCUGGGUCUAUCCAUGAUGAUGCUCAUCAUCGAUGCCGGGGUGUAUGGUGUGCUCACUUGGUACAUAGAGGCCGUGCAUCCAGGAAUGUAUGGGCUGCCCCGACCAUGGUACUUUCCCCUGCAGAGGUCCUAUUGGUCAGGCAGUGGGCGUGUCGAGACCUGGGAUUGGCCAUGGUGUGGAGGCGGGGCUGCCAAGCUCAGUGUGAUGGAGGAGGAUCAGGCUUGUGCUAUGGACCAGCAGAGAUCUGAGGAGAUGCGGGGCAUGGAGGAGGAGCCGAGCCACUUGUCGUUGGUGGUCUGUAUAGACAAACUGACCAAGGUGUACAAGACUGGCACCAAACUGGCCCUCAACAAACUAAGCCUCAACCUCCAUGAAAACCAGGUAGUCUCUUUCCUGGGACACAACGGCGCUGGCAAGACCACGACCAUGUCCAUCCUGACAGGCUUGUUCCCACCCACCUCUGGCUCUGCCACCAUAUAUGGUCAUGACAUCCGUACGGAGAUGGAGCGGAUUCGUCAGAACCUGGGCAUGUGUCCACAGCACAAUGUCCUGUUUGACAAGCUGAGUGUGGAGGAGCACCUGUGGUUCUACUCCAGACUUAAAGGCAUGGCUGAAGAAGACUUACGCAAGGAGAUGGACAAGAUGAUUCUUGACCUGGAGUUAACCCACAAGCGCCACAGCUUGGUGCAGACUCUGUCUGGCGGGAUGAAAAGGAAGCUGUCUGUGGCCAUCGCCUUCAUUGGCGGCUCCAGAGCUGUCAUCCUGGAUGAACCCACAGCAGGGGUGGACCCCUACGCUCGCAGGGCCAUCUGGGACCUUAUCCUUAAGUACAAACAGGGCCGUACAAUUCUGCUGUCCACCCACCAUAUGGAUGAAGCAGACCUUCUGGGAGAUCGCAUUGCUAUCAUCUCACAUGGGAAACUCAAGUGCUGUGGCUCGCCACUCUUCCUGAAGAGCACCUACGGAGACGGAUACAAACUGACACUCGUCAAAAAGCAGAGUGAAGGCAGAGGACAGGGUAGCCAGCUGCAGCCUCCUCCGUCUCUGUCUCUAUCCUCCUCUCUGUCACUUUGCUCAGAAGCUCGCGUCACCCAGUUUAUUUGCCAGUUUGUGGCGUCCUGUCUGCUGGUGUCCGAUUCCAACACUGAGCUGUCCUACGUCCUGCCCUCCGAGGCCGUCAAGAAGGGCUGCUUCGAGAGGCUGUUCCAGGCUUUAGAGGAGAGCUUGGACAGCCUGUCCCUAACCAGCUUCGGAGUGAUGGACACUACCCUAGAGGAGGUUUUUCUCAAAGUGUCUGAGGAGGACCAGUCACUGGAGAACAGUGAUUCUGAUGCGGACAUGAAGGUUUCCCCAGGGGGCAGCUUACUGGGGAAAUCCUCAGUGGCUUCAGGAGACCUGGGGGUGCCACAGAGUGGACCUUCAGUAGAGAGUGAGAAGCCGGAAGUGGAGCUGAGUAAUCUGCUGAUGUGCUCCAGGCUGAGUCAGAGUCAGUCCUCCCUGAAAUCUUCCUCGUCCAUCGGCUCAGUGAGGGGGGAUGAAGGGGGACUCUACACCGACUUCUAUGGAGAUUAUUGUCCGCUCUUUGACAAUGGCCAAGAGUCUGACUCUGCCAGCAUGAGGGUGGAUGCAGAGAACCCCUCGUCCCCAGAGCCAGAGGUACUGGAAGGGCAGGGCAGCUUCAAGUUGGAGGGUUGGUGGUUAAAGCUAGGUCAGUUUCAUGGCCUCAUCAUCAAGAGGUUCCACUGUGCCAAGAGGAACACUAAGGGCCUCUUCUCUCAGAUCCUCCUGCCUGCCUUCUUCGUCUGUGUGGCCAUGACUGUGGCCUUAUCUGUGCCUGAGAUUGGAGAUUUGCCACCCCUGAUCUUGUCCCCAUCUCAGUAUCAUAACUAUACCCAACCUAGAGGCAACUUCAUUCCCUAUGCCAACGAAGACAGACCCCAGUACAGGAGCAAGCUGUCACCAGAUGCCAACCCACAAAAGAUCAUCAACACCCUCCGUCUGCCUUCGGGCGUGGGUGCUACCUGCGUCCUUAAAACCCCAUUCAACAGCACCCUGGACCAACUGGCUCAGACCCUUAACCCCAGUGCCAACAACUCCAAGACCCUGGCUGCCCGCUACUUUGACUCCAUGUGUCUGGACUCCUUCACUCAGGGGGUCCCCCUCUCGAACUUUGUACCCCCACCUCCUUCACCGGCACCUUCAGAUGACCCAGAUCCUCGCUUUGAGGAUGGACUGUGGAACUUCACAGUCGCCCCUCCAACAACAGUUGAUGAGCCUGUGACAUCUUCUCCAACCCUCCCCCUGUCCAUCCAUGAGCCGGUGCGUUGUACCUGCUCUAUGCAGGGGACAGGCUUCUCUUGCCCCAGUGGGGUGGGAGGACGGCCCCCUCUCAUGAAGGUGGUGACAGGUGACAUCGUGGUGGACAUCACAGGCAGGAAUGUCUCUGAGUACCUGCUUUUCACAUCAGACAGGCUGCGCCUGCACAGAUAUGGUGGUUUAACAGUGGGAAACAUCCAGAAAUCAAUCCCAGCAUCCUUUGGGAGAAAGAUACCUACAAUGAUUCGCAAGAUAGCAGUUCGUAGAUUAGCUCAGGUUCUGUACAACAACAAAGGUUACCACAGCAUGCCGACUUAUCUGAAUGUCCUCAACAAUGCCAUCCUGCGUGCCAACCUGCCUGCAUCCAAGGGCAACCCUGCUGCCUAUGGCUUCACACUGACAAACCACCCAAUGAAUCGAACCAGUGCCAGCCUCUCUUUGGACUACCUGCUCCAGGGAACAGACGUGGUGAUUGCCAUCUUCAUUAUUGUAGCCAUGUCCUUUGUGCCAGCCAGCUUUGUGGUUUUCUUGGUUGCAGAGAAAUCCACGAAGGCCAAACACCUACAAUUUGUCAGCGGCUGUGACCCUGUUAUCUACUGGCUAGCUAAUUACAUAUGGGACAUGCUGAACUACCUGGUACCUGCCACAUGCUGUGUUAUUAUUCUGUUUGUGUUUGACCUGCCGGCCUACACCUCCCCAACUAACUUCCCCGCUGUCCUCUCGCUCUUUCUUCUCUACGGGUGGUCCAUCACUCCCAUCAUGUACCCAGCAUCCUUCUGGUUCGAGGUACCCAGUACAGCCUACGUGUUCCUCAUAGUCAUCAACCUCUUCAUAGGCAUCACUGCAACUGUUGCCACUUUCCUACUCCAGCUCUUUGAACAUGAUAAGGAUCUGAAAAAAGUCAACAGUUACCUGAAGUCCUGUUUCCUUAUCUUCCCCAACUACAACCUGGGCCAUGGCCUGAUGGAGAUGGCCUACAAUGAGUACAUCAAUGAAUACUACGCUAAAAUAGGCCAGUUUGACAAGAUGAAGUCUCCAUUUGAGUGGGACAUUGUGACCCGAGGACUAGUUGCCAUGACAAUCGAAGGCUUUGUUGGCUUUCUCAUUACCAUCCUCUGCCAGUACAACUUCCUCAGGAAACCCACGAGGGUGCCAGUCAGCUGCCAGCCUAUAGACGAUGAUGAUGUAGACGUGGCUUGUGAAAGACGAAGAGUGUUGCAAGGAGACGCUGACAACGACAUGCUGAAGAUCGAGAACCUGACAAAGGUGUAUAAAUCCAGGAAGAUGGGUCAUAUCCUGGCAGUGGACCGGCUGUGUCUGGGUGUCCGGCCUGGUGAGUGUUUCGGACUGCUAGGAGUAAAUGGAGCUGGAAAGACUACCACCUUCAAGAUGCUAACUGGAGAUGAGUGCACCACUGGAGGAGAGGCCUUCAUCGAUGGAAACAGUAUCCUGAAGGACCUUUUACGUGUGCAGCAGAGUAUCGGCUACUGUCCCCAGUUUGACGCUCUGUUUGAUGACCUGACAGCCAGGGAACAUCUGGAGCUUUACACCCGCCUCCGUGGCAUUCCCUGGAAAGACCAGGAAAGGGUGGUGCAGUGGGCAUUAGAAAAACUGGAAUUGUCAAAGUAUGCAGACAAGCCUGCUGGGACUUACAGUGGAGGAAACAAACGCAAACUUUCCACUGCCAUCGCUCUGAUUGGAUAUCCCUCACUCAUCUUCCUUGAUGAACCGACCACUGGCAUGGACCCAAAGGCCCGCAGAUUUCUCUGGAACUUAAUCCUGGACGUUAUAAAGACUGGACGCUCAGUAGUGCUGACAUCACACAGCAUGGAAGAGUGUGAGGCUUUGUGCACCAGAUUGGGCAUUAUGGUCAACGGCAGGUUUAAAUGUCUGGGCAGUAUCCAACAUCUCAAGAACAGGUUUGGGGAUGGCUACAUGAUCACAGUGAGGACUAAGAGCAGUUCGAAUCUGAAGGAGGUGGUUAGAUUCUUCAGCAGAAACUUCCCUGAGGCCGUACUAAAGGAGCGUCACCACACCAAGGUCCAGUACCAGUUGAAGUCUGAGCGGAUCUCACUGGCUCAGGUCUUUAGUAAGAUGGAGCAGGUGAUGGAGGUGUUGGGCAUCGAGGACUACUCUGUCAGUCAGACCACUCUGGACAAUGUGUUUGUCAACUUUGCCAAGAAGCAGAGUGACAAUCUGGAGCAGCAGGAGACGACGUCCUCAGGUGGUGGACAGUCUCCCCUGCAGCGCAUCUUCAACCUGCUGAAGUCUCGGCCUGCCAACACAGAGCUCAAUGCUCUGAUCAGCGAGGCACCGGAGGAACUGGAGAGCGACGAUGAUGAAGGACUCAUCAGCUUUGAAGAGGAAAGGGUGCAGCUCUCCUUCAACACAGACACUCUCUGUUAAAAUGAGCCCCUUCAAAAGAGCAGAGACGAGGAGAGUGACAGAGUGGGAAAACCAAAACCUCUCUCUGAGCUCUGAGGCUUGGAGGGAGAAGAGAACAGCUGAUUUAACCCUGAAGAGGACCAAAACUCUCUGCACCAUGGAACAUAGGACCAGUAGUUCAGUAUUUCAGCCUCAAUUGAUAACGUGCAGAGUCCAGCCUAUAGGUAGAGACACAGCAGAAGGAGUGCUUGAAUUUGGAUUGAAGACUUUGUCCUGGAAAGUUCUCAUAUUUAUUUUUGUUGAGAAUGUAUCUUAUUAAAUGGAUGAUGAAUACAGUAGGUUAGCUACUUUUGUUAGUAAAUGAACAUAUCAUUGGUGAUAUGUUAAAAACCAAGUGUUUGACAGCACAGGUUACUUUGAGUUGGUUGUACUCCCAACCAAAAGGCCUCAUGACACCAGAGUGGGCCCUUGUCACAGUACCAAAUUAGACCUGCCUUGAGAGCAUGCUGUGAUGAAGUUUAUGUAGUCUAUUUUUCUGUGGCAAGAAAAAUAAUUUAUUUGGAUAUCGAAGCAGAUGUGAUGUGUGUGAUUUAUUUUGCAGUAACAGAGGAUUUAGUGAAAUGCACCUUGGGAAGUGCCAGAUGUGGACAUGCAUGCUGUUGGCCUUUUCUUUUAACUUGAUGUCAGAGACAUGGAGAGAAUGUACAUGGCACGGUUAUUGUCUUGAUGGUGUCUCCCCUCUAUCAACUUGUUUUGACACUUGACAUUUGGUCUCUUUCUACUAAAUACUCUCUUUUGUUCUUUUAACAUAUUAUUAUGUUGUGGACUCUGCCAAGAAGAUCCUCUACCGGACACAGUGUAUAAUAAUAAUAAUAAUAAUAAUAAUAAUCUAACAGUCUGAAACUGCAGUGAACUCUGCUUAUAUUCCCUGACAAUAACUGCACUACCAUCACUGUGAAGGGAACUCUCAGAUCAGAAUAAUCUAUUGAGUACAAUAUAUGUUUUAUUAUUUGCAGAUGUAUUUGUAAUGUGAUAGUUGAGUGUAACCUGUCCUGUCAAAAAUAACUGUUUCAUUACUUCUUUCACAGCUAAUUGCAGUUAUAUUUUUGGUGACUAUUAUGGCACUGGUGGGCUGUUUACUGAUACUGUUAAUUGAAGGGGUUCAUUAAACACGGAAAACUGACUUGUAA